rnacentral:rRNA from 1 species
CCCUUAGAUGUCCGGGGCUGCACGCGCGCUACACUGUAGAAAGCAGCGUGCUUCAAAACCUUUCCUGAAAAGGAUGGGUAACCCCAGCAAAAUUCUACGUGCUUGGGAUAGAGAUUUGCAAUUUUCUCUCUUGAACGAGGAAUUCCCAGUAAGUGCGAGUCAUCAGCUCGCGUUGAUUACGUCCCUGCCCUUUGUACACACCGCCCGUCGCUACUACCGAUUGGGAAAAUUUUAGAGAGUCCUGGACUGAUGAUUGUUCGGCUUCACGGCCUUACUUUCGUCGGGAAAGAAUUCGAUAAUAUUUUUCUAGAGGAAGUAAAAGUCGUAACA